rnacentral:rRNA from 1 species
GUGAGGAAUAUUGGUCAAUGGACGGAAGUCUGAACCAGCCAUGCCGCGUGAAGGAUGAAGGCGUUCUGCGUUGUAAACUUCUUUUAUUUAGGAAGAAACCACCGAUUUCUAUUGGUGUUGACGGUAUUAAAUGAAUAAGCACCGGCUAACUCCGUGCCAGCAGCCGCGGUAAUACGGAGGGUGCGAGCGUUAUCCGGAUUUACUGGGUUUAAAGGGUGCGCAGGCGGUCUUAUAAGUCCGGGGUGAAAUACUACAGCUCAACUGUAGAACUGCCUUGGAUACUAUAGGACUUGAAUCGAGUAUAGGUCAGCGGAAUACAACAUGUAGCGGUGAAAUGCAUAGAUAUGUUGUGGAACACCGAUUGCGAAGGCAGCUGACUGGGCUUGAAUUGACGCUCAGGCACGAAAGCGUGGGUAGCGAACAGGAUUAGAUACCCUAGUAGUCC